AGGGAAUCUUCCACAAUGGGCGAAAGCCUGAUGGAGCAACGCCGCGUGAGUGAUGAAGGCCUUUGGGUUGUAAAACUCUGUCUUCUGUGACGAACAAGCCUGUGAGUGGAAUGCUCAGGCCCUGACGGUAACAGAGGAGGAAGCCACGGCUACCUACGUGCCAGCAGCCGCGGUAAUACGUAGGUGGCAAGCGUUAAUCGGAAUUACUGGGCGUAAAGCGUACGCAGGCGGCUGUGCAAGACAGGUGUGAAAUCCCCGGGCUUAACCUGGGAACUGCAUUUGUGACUGCAUAGCUAGAGUCCGUAAGAGGGGGGUGGAAUUCCACGUGUAGCAGUGAAAUGCGUAGAGAUGUGGAGGAACACCGAUGGCGAAGGCAGCCCCCUGGGAUGAGACUGACGCUCAUGUACGAAAGCGUGGGGAGCAA
rnacentral:rRNA from 1 species